rnacentral:pre_miRNA from 2 species
CGGUGGUGUCAUGGUCAUUGUUGUCCGUUCAUAUGAACCCUGCAAUUGCAUUGUAGUUUGUGUGAGAUUCAUAUAACGGUCAACAGAGGCCCUUGACAUUAAAGA